AUGGGUCAAAAUUAUCGAUUUUUCUUUUAUGCCAAAAAUUAUUAGGAUAUUAAGUAAAGAUAAUGUUCCAUGAAGAUAUUAUUUUUUUUACAUUUUCUACUGUAAAUAUGUGAGUGGAUAUGCAUUGCUAAGGACUUCAUCUGGACAACUUUAAAGGCGAUUUUCUCAAUAUUCUGAUUUUUUUUGCACCCUCAGAUUCCAGAUUUUCAAAUAGUUGUAUCUUGGCCAAAUAUUGUCCUAUCCUAAUAAACCAUAAAUCAAUGGAAACUUAUUUAUUCAGCUUUCAGUUGAUGUAUAAAUCUCAAUUUAUAAAAAUCACCCUUAAGAAUGGUUUUGUGCUUCAGGGUCACAUUUAAUGCUAGAUGGUACGUUGAAUCAAUGAUAUGUCUUCAACAGCAUACAAAACAAAAUAUCUGCCUUUUAAAUUAUUAUGAUCAGUAUUAUUAUUUUUGAUCAUAUAAGACCUCUUCAAAAAUCUAAAAUAAUGUUAAAAUAUAAUUAUUAUAAUUAUAGGGAAGGACACUCUUUGCAAAAAUGCAGACUGUACAUUAUCCUGCACAGCUACUGCAAAAAAAAAAAAAAAAAAAAAAAAAAAAAAUUAAUACAUGGCCAUGAAAUAUUAAUUUCAGAAAUUAUUUUAUAAUUAUUAUUAUCUUGAAACUUCUGCUAACAAAAAAUAGUCCAUUAGUCUAUCAAUAUACAAAAUAAUCGGCCUAGCAACAAGACGGACACUGCAACAAUAUUACAGUAAUAUUAAUAAGCUACUGAAGUCAUCUGAGGCCAUGCUUUUGCAAGUUGUGUUUAUAUGUAACAAGACAGCGCGAGUCCGCAGAGCGCUACAAGAAACAUGAAAGUAGCGCCAGUUUCAGUUACCCGGAUGAGCGGACUGCAGCGCUGCCAUGGACGACGGAUUGACCAAUCAGAACCGAGUAUUCCAGAGCGCUGUGUAAAGAAAUUAAAUAAUUAAGGAGAUAACAAUUAGUAAGUAGCACUCAGCCAUGACUAAACCAACAUGAUAUUGUUUGUAUAUGCAGCACAAAGCCAGACUAAUGCCAGCUGUGAGGCUGUUAGACCCUGCAGGAAAACACACUCGAGCUGUGAGAGUCGAUGACGCAGAAAGUAGAGCAUGUGUGAGUAAAGUUUGUUUCGAAGGCCGACAGGUAAACUGUCCCGGUAAGAAGGCAGCGCCGCAGGCUCCUGCUGAGAAGUGUGAGAUGAAAGCAGAUGGCAGAAAGGGCAGGAAAAAUGGAACAGGAGGGGGUUGCUGCCUUUUCACCGCAAAAAUACGGGGCCAUAGCAGACGGUCAGCAUGAGGUGGGCAGCGGUCUGCAUAGCCACGACCACUGCUUUACCAUACAUGGAGAACAACACAAGAAACGCAUGCGUUUUUCUACUAGUAAGAUAUAAAGGCUUCCCAGUGCUGGUGCUGGAAAGCCGUGAGAUGUCCAGGUUUUGGCUCCAGCCUGGGUUUUAACACCUGAUGCAUCAGCACCGCCGUCGCUCCUCACACGCUGUUCUUGUCUGGGAGCUCGGCCUCGGGGGUGCGGGGGAAGUAGACGGUGGUCUUGUGCUCUUCGUAACGAUCAAUGUGCUUGAGGUGGACGACCAUGUGCAGGGCGUAAGCCAACACCAGUAGUAGAAUCAAAGAGGUGAUCAGGCCCAUCAAGAUGGCUGGAGUGAAGAAAGUUGCACAGUCACUUGCUGAAGCAAACUUGUUGGACUGGACAUUAAAGGCCUGGAUCUGAAAAAAGGUAUAAAACAAAUGUUUUCUGUCUGAGAAUGUGCUAAAUAACACUUUAAAUUUUAUUGGGAACCUAAACAUGAACUAGACCUUGCUCUGUUUACUGAUGUAUAAAACAGAGAAAUGUCUUUAGAAAUACAAAAUAUAAAUUUAUUUUUAAAUAAAGUUAAUAUGCUGUGUAUUUUUGUUACGUUUUAUGUUUAUCGUCUUACAAUAAAUGGACAACUUUGAAUUUUGUAACAUCUCGCUGUUUUUUCAGCACUUUGUUGUUUUUAAUUUGACAAAAAAUGCUAUGUGAAUAGCCCCUUAUGCACUCUUUAAAAUAAAGGAUCCAAAAUGGGGUUUUCUCAGUGA